rnacentral:rRNA from 1 species
UACGUAGGGGGCAAGCGUUGUCCGGAAUCAUUGGGCGUAAAGCGCGUGUAGGCGGUUCGGUAAGUCUGCUGUGAAAGUCCAGGGCUCAACCCUGGGAUGCCGGUGGAUACUGUCGGACUAGAGUACGGAAGAGGCGAGUGGAAUUCCUGGUGUAGCGGUGAAAUGCGUAGAUAUCAGGAGGAACACCUGUGGUGUAGACAGCUUACUGGACCAUUUCUGACGCUGAGACACGAAAGCGUGGGUAGCAAACAGG